CUGCUCCUGCUUUUUGUGCGUCUGUCAUUGAAAGCGAUGUAUGUCGUGCAGUCUCUGUGGUACCACCAAGACGUCUGUGUCACGUUUUAGGAAGUAUGCCGCACUGCACAAAAACAUGAAUGUAUUCUGCAUGAAGUGCCCAUUGGAACAGCACAGAAAAGUGUUCCGAGAGUUCCUUCUCUGAGCUAGUGCUACGAGAUAUCAAGGACGAAAAUAGGACUGUAGAGAAAACGAAGAGUCCAAGAGGAUCUAUAUGGUUUUGUGGCAUGGGAGCCCUAAGGUGUCAUAGUGCCCUAAGGUGGUGCUGCAUCUCGAGCUACCAGAAGGCUAGUACAAGUGAAGAUCACGUCGGAGACGUGCCGUGCUCCCCUUUCAUCAUUGCAAAAGGAGAGAAUUUUCUGGCUGCCGGGGUAUUUACCAUCUGUAUUGAUAUCCAUGCUGUGAUCGAAUCCACCACACGGUGCCAGGC